UUCUGGAAUAACCUAUUGCCCACUUCUCAGCGCUCCUGAACUGGGGAGCCCGGCACCGUCCCAGGCAAUUAACUGAGUCGCGGCCCGGACUGAUCUCUAAGGAGGAAAUUGAAGAGCAUCCCAGGGCUGAGCAGUUCUCCAUCUUCUAGAAGAGAAGCACCAGGAGAGAAAGGACCUUACCUGCCUGUUCAUCGUUGUAUUCCCAGCCCCUAGAAUCAUAGCUGGCCCAUUAGGAGGAAUGCUGUUUCUUAUUUAUGGAUGAAUGCAAUUCUCAACCAAUUCACCUGCAAAGAAAACAUUGACCUUUCCGUGUCUGAGAGGAGGCAACCAAGCUGGAGCAAAUUCUCCCCUUGUAAGAGAUUUUGUUGAUGGGUCUCCCUGUCGUUUUCCUCUGUGCCCGAGUCUCCACCUUGGUUUCACGCCAGGUGUCCCGGUUCUUCAUCUUCGCAGGGAGUGGAGCUCCGUCCCCAAGCACCAAUUCCUACCGAGGGGUCAACGAUAACUCCUUCCAGACUUUCCCGGAAUUAUGCCUCUGAAAUCAGAUCCAGUGUUCCAAAAAUAAUGGCAUUUCUUAGAACCCAUGGUGUCUCAGAAUUGGUGAAAUAUGGACUGAUCUUGAAUCCUCUGAGCCAUCAACUGUUACUGUGAAAUACUGCUUGUUGGAAAGGUUUAAUUUCCUCUUCAGAAGUAGUCCCUUAGUAGCAUUUUUUCCCUUGAGGCUUGAUUAGGAUGACCAAAAUUAAAUCUCUUUAUAUAUGUAAUAUCCAAAUACAUUCUGCUGUCUAGUUUCACAUCUCAAUUUUUAUGCUUAUUACUUCUUGGUUUUGCGUGUGUGUGUGUGUGUGUGUUCUUUUCUUUUUUUUUUUUUUAAUGUUCUCAACCUGUCAACAUCAUUGACUACUGUGAUCUCAAAGAGUAAAGCAGAGAGCUGAGAAAAUGGUAAGACAGCCAAAACAAACUUUGUUAGGUUACAUAUGAGGAACAUUGGGUUCAUCUGAUUACUCUGUUCAGAUGGCACAUCCAGAUACCAUAAGCCAAGUCCUUAGCACAUAAUUAUUUUUAAACUGUGUUAUCCUGCUUAAUUGGUUUAAAAUAAUUUAGCAGGGUGCUGGUUGGCUCCUACAAAUGAAUCUAAUUCAUCAGUUCUUAAUUGUUAAAAUAGCCCUAUUUCGACAAUUUAGGCUAUUGUUGAAGCCAGAGUCGCCACUCCUUCAGAGGCUUUCAUAUAAUUUAUUCAUUCCCUUUUAAAUUGGAGCCCUAGCAUUAGGCAGCAUUCCUUUAAAAAACAACAACAAAGAGCAAAUUUUCUCCCACAUACCUCUUCUGACCAAUGUCCUCCCAGAGAAACCUUCCCUAAUCCCCGAGACUGCAACAGCACAGGAUUUAGCGCACAUACUCCCAACUCAUUCUCCCUCUAGCAUUGCAAGAGCUCACCGUUUUUUCACUUGAGUCUGAUGAAAUAGUUGGCUUACAUUUAGGGGCCAUGUUUUAGAUAAAUAAGCCUGCAUAAAACCAGAAUUGUUCUAGAAUCACAGAGAUUGGAAAGCUCUGGUAUUAUUUAGUUUUCUCUUUUUAUUUUUUGUCAAACAUGGUUGAAUUCCUGCAAUUUAAAUAAGCAUAUGAUACGAAUCCACGGUUAUCUAUACUAGUGUCACAUUUAUAGUUUUUUUCCCCCUUUACUUUGCAGAUUUAUUUAAGAACUUCUUUUAAGAAAUGUAAUAAUAACUCUAAGGGUAUGUGAAUUUUUUAAGUUAUUUAGUGUGUACUACUAGAUGUAGACAUAUACAUUAUUUUUAUACUUUAAGCAUAUAGUUCUUAAUCAGUAUUUAUAAGAUUCACCUAAAGAGCUUUAUAAAAAAUGAGAUGACCAGGGCCCAUCCCAAUUCUACUGAAUCACUUGCCUCUGGGUAUGGGGAUUUGGUGCAUUUUUAACUCUGUGGGCAAUGCUGAUGUGCAUUUCCUGGCCCCAAACCACUGCUUUAAGCCAUCAUCAGCCAAUAGCUUAAUUGUCAACCAGAGUCACUAAGAAUAAACUUGGCCUAUUUCACAAUUCUGUCUAGGGACCACUCGUCAAUGCUGGUUUCUGAUUGCCUCUUGAUUUGCUGCCUAUAUGUGUCCUAAUUUCUUUCUUGUUCUGCCUCUGACCUUGCCUUCCAGCACUUCUGGGCUUCUGAACUGGAAACCUGGUCUUUGAUCUCAGAAGCCAUCAUAAGCACAGGUUCUGGUUCUAUGCUCUAGGUUGGCUCUUUGGACUUGGCUCUCCUGAUCUUUGCAUCUAACACUGUCUCUACCAUACAUCUCCAUUUAUGACAAUCUGCCAACUCCACUGAGUCAGGGAAGAAAGAGCCAUGAUGUCUCCAUAGGAAAUGAUUUCAAAUAACUAUAACAGGGAAAGUCAUUAUUAAUGCAUGCUCAUGUACUUCAGUAGUUGAGUUUGAUUUCCUUCAAACACUGCUUUGUACUUAGUACCCCAACUAAGAACUGUAAUUUAUAUGGAAAAAAAAAAUCCUUAGUCUGGAAUAAAGGCCCUCUACUGUCUAGAUCUGACCUACCUUUCUGGAUCUUAAUACUAUUCUUCACAUACCUAGUGCUCCAGCUCAGCUGAACUACACUGUUCCCCAGGAAGCCCCUGGCACUGCUGUUAGAUUCCUUUCUUCGCUACAUUUUCAAUGUCGAAAAGGACUUUUUCAUCAGCAGCUGCCUCUUGCUUUACCCACAUAUUCAAAUCCUACCAAUUCUUUGAAGCAGUGUUUCUCAAACCUGAGUAAUGCAAAGGAAAUUCCUGUCAUUCUAGAGAAUACAUAUUAGGAUAGGCAGGAGUCCAUGGACCAGCUUGAAAAGCACUGGUACAGUAAACAGAAGGCCAAUUCUAUGAAAAUCUUUCAUUUGCAAAUUAUCACUUUGAAAGAAAAAUGUUGUCUUUACAACUGGUGUAACAAUUUGUAUAUUGUCAUUAAAAUGAAAACACACAUUUUAAAGUCUCAAAGAACUCUUGAUUUUUUAUCUCCAGAUCUAGGAUCUCAGAGAAACGUGGCUUUAAGGAACAUCUUAAAUAUACUGGCCCUGGAAAAUGUUCAUCACCCAAGGGUAAUACAUUUUUCUCUUUUCUGAAUUAUUUAGCAUCUAAUCACUCUCUGCCUUGUAGUAGCUAAUAAUAU